AACGCGAAGAACCUUACCAGGUCUUGACAUCCUCUGACACUCCUAGAGAUAGGACGUUCCCCUUCGGGGGACAGAGUGACAGGUGGUGCAUGGUUGUCGUCAGCUCGUGUCGUGAGAUGUUGGGUUAAGUCCCGCAACGAGCGCAACCCUUGAUCUUAGUUGCCAGCAUUCAGUUGGGCACUCUAAGGUGACUGCCGGUGACAAACCGGAGGAAGGUGGGGAUGACGUCAAAUCAUCAUGCCCCUUAUGACCUGGGCUACACACGUGCUACAAUGGAUGGUACAAAGGGCUGCAAAACCGCGAGGUCGAGCCAAUCCCAUAAAACCAUUCUCAGUUCGGAUUGUAGGCUGCAACUCGCCUACAUGAAGCUGGAAUCGCUAGUAAUCGUGGAUCAGCAUGCCACGGUGAAUACGUUCCCGGGCUUGUA
rnacentral:rRNA from 1 species